rnacentral:lncRNA from 1 species
AACAAUGUUAAGGAUACAUGUCUAAUGAUACAUUAUGCCUGAAUUGACACGUAGAUAUUUGCAUUAGUUGUUUGUCAUUGCAUUAACAUUUCAUCAGACUGAAUAUGGAAAAUGCAGAAUUAGGGUUGUCUGCUGCACUUUAUCAAUAUUUAAGCAUUAUACAGGCUUUAAAGAGCUGUACCUUUUUAGAUUGGCAAUACCAACUAUAUCUGUAGUAGCCUCCAGUGGUGGCCAGGCUGUCCUGCAUCAUCCUCACUGGUUGUGAUGAAGGCUUUACAAAUCCAUAUUUUGAUCACUUUACUCUAAAUGUUGUUUACAUAGGAAAGUCUAGGUACAAAAAAAUGAUCUCUUAGUCUUCUCCAGUUAUUCUCUGAGUGUUUGGUGUGACAGACACACAGCAGUGAGCCAACCUACAGGCAGGGCUGCUGUACACUACACGAUACUGAAACACAGUAGACCUAUCUGGGUAUUCUUGAAGUGCAAAGUUGCCAAAAUGGAGUUGGGACGUCACACUGUUCCAACUCAACAAAGAGACAGACUUUUGUGAGAAAGGACACUAAUGAAUACUUCUGUCUCCCAGACCCCAACACCACUACUUCUGUCCCCCAGACCCCAACACCACUACUUCUGUCCCCCAGACCCCAACACCACUACUUCCUGGGAUAGUGUUUGAUUUAGUAUUUAUUUAUUUUUGUUUUACAGCCAUGUAAAGAUGGAUAGGUCAUCUGUGCUAUAUGUAGCAAAAACAAAACCACGAUACACGGGUGCCAGUCAACUGUUAUGAAACAAUAAACCACGGUACGCUGGUGCCAGUCAACUGUUGUGAAACAAUAAACCACGGUACGCUGGUGCCAGUCAACUGUUAUGAAACAAUAAACCACGGUACGCUGGUGCCAGUCAACUGUUAUGAAACAAUAAACCACGGUACGCUGGUGCCAGUCAACUGUUAUGAAACAAUAAACCACGGUACGCUGGUGCCAGUCAACUGUUAUGAAACAAUAAACCACGGUACGCUGGUGCCAGUCAACUGUUGUGAAACAAUAAAAAGUGAACUGAGACA